AACAUUGUGCUUGCACAGAUGACGACCGGCGCACGGGUGCGUAACGCGUAUAGAACCUACCUUUUACAGAGGAAUAGCCUUUAGAAAUGAAGAUUAAUGCCUCAUAGUAUUGUAGACUGGCAUCAGUUUAUAAUUAAAGAUUUAUCGGUAAAAGAUGGCUAUGCGUCCUAUUAGUUAGUUGGUAAGGUAACGGCUUACCAAGACAGCGAUAGGUAGGGGUCCUGAGAGGGAGAUCCCCCACACUGGUACUGAGACACGGACCAGACUCCUACGGGAGGCAGCAGUGAGGAAUAUUGGACAAUGGAGGAGACUCUGAUCCAGCCAUGCCGCGUGUAGGAAGAAUGCCCUAUGGGUUGUAAACUACUUUUAUACAGGAAGAAACACUGGUAUGUAUACCA
rnacentral:rRNA from 1 species